rnacentral:rRNA from 1 species
UACGUAGGGUGCAAGCGUUGUCCGGAAUUAUUGGGCGUAAAGAGCUCGUAGGCGGUUCGUCGCGUCGGCUGUGAAAUCCCGAGGCUCAACCUCGGGUCUGCAGUCGAUACGGGCGGACUGGAGUUCGGCAGGGGAGACUGGAAUUCCUGGUGUAGCGGUGAAAUGCGCAGAUAUCAGGAGGAACACCGGUGGCGAAGGCGGGUCUCUGGGCUGACACUGACGCUCAUGCACGAAAGCGUGGGGAGCAAACAGG